rnacentral:rRNA from 1 species
AGUGAACGCUGGCGGUAGGCCUAACACAUGCAAGUCGGACGGCAGCGCAGUAAGAGCUUGCUCUUACGGGUGGCGAGUGGCGGACGGGUGAGGAAUACAUCGGAAUCUACUUUUUCGUGGGGGAUAACGUAGGGAAACUUACGCUAAUACCGCAUACGACCUACGGGUGAAAGCAGGGGAUCUUCGGACCUUGCGCGAUUGAAUGAGCCGAUGUCGGAUUAGCUAGUUGGCGGGGUAAAGGCCCACCAAGGCGACGAUCCGUAGCUGGUCUGAGAGGAUGAUCAGCCACACUGGAACUGAGACACGGUCCAGACUCCUACGGGAGGCAGCAGUGGGGAAUAUUGGACAAUGGGCGCAAGCCUGAUCCAGCCAUACCGCGUGGGUGAAGAAGGCCUUCGGGUUGUAAAGCCCUUUUGUUGGGAAAGAAAAGCAGCAGGUUAAUACCCCGCUGUUCUGACGGUACCCAAAGAAUAAGCACCGGCUAACUUCGUG